ACAUGUCUCAGGAUCUGGAGUUGCGGCCGUGGCGGUGGCAGCUUCCACCAGCGCGGAGCAGGUGGCGGCAGAGGAAGCGGCAGCCGAGGAGGCCUUCACGACUUCUGCUCCCUGCCACCCGGCAUGGGCCUCAACCAGAACCGCGACCCCAUGGGUCCCGGCGUGGGCCAGGGAGGCUCCAAGCCUCUGAUCCUGCCGUGGCCUCUGCAUCAUCAUCAUCAGCAGCAGCAGCAGCAGCAGGAGCAGCAGCAGCAGCAGCAGCAGCCGCCGCCACUGCACCAGCCGCCACCCACCAGCAGCCUCCGCCACUGCAAGACUCAUCUAAGCCCGUCAUUGUUCAGGGACUUGGCUCCACUCCAGGAGUAGGCAGCAAGUCGCCAGCCUUUGGCUUGGCCCCGCCCACCACCCCUCUGACCUCCAAGGCCCCUCCAGGGCUGGGGUCAGGUCUGACUCCAACCCAACCCACUGCCUGCCGUCACUUCAGCCCCUCCCGGGGAGCCUUCCCCCCUCCCCCCACUCCUCCGAGUGGCGGGAUCACGACCAUUCCCCCUCAGGCCGGAGGCCCACUGCCUCCACCCGCGGGUGUUCUGGGACUGGGGCCUAAGCAAGGUCCAGGCCCCGGUGACCCCAAAUGUAGCAAAAUGCCUGGCGGUCCGAAGCCCGGGGCGGCCCAGGCCUAAGCACUCCUGGCGGCCACCCCAAGCUGCCGCAUCGGGGUGGCGGGAAGCCCUGCGGGGCCACCAGCACCACCUGCCCUACCACCAGCAGUACCACCAGGGUCCCCUGCCCAGUGGCCGCAGCGAGGAAAAGAUCUCAACUUGGAGGGAUUUAAAGCCAAUUUGUCUCUCUUGAGGAGGUCUAAUGAGAAAACUUACAACGCUGUCAGUUGUUUGUUGGGAAUCUACCUGCUGACAUGACAGAGGAUGAAUUCAAAAGACUGUUUGCUAAAUAUGGAGAACCAGGAGAAGUUUUUAUCAACAAAGGCAAAGGAUUCGGUUUUAUUAAGCUUGAAUCUAGAGCAUUGGCUGAAAUUGUCAAAGCUGAACUCGAUGCUACACCCAUGAGAGGUAGACAGCUUCAGGUCUGCUUUGCCACACAUGCUGCUGCCCUUUCUGUUAGUAAUCUUUCAACUUAUGUUUCCAAUGAGCUUUUGGAAGAAGCUUUUAGCCACUUUGGUCCUAUUGAAAGGGCUGUUAUAAUUGUGGAUGAUCGUGGAAGAUCUACAGGGAAAGGCAUUGUUGAUUUGCUUCAAAACCAGCAGCAAGAAAGACAUUUGAACGAUGCAGUGAAGGUGUUUUCUUGUUGACAACAACUCCUAGUCCAGUCAUUGUGGAACCACUUGAACAAUUCAGAGAUGAUGAAGAUGGUCUUCCUGAAAAACUUGCACAGAAGAAUCCAGUAUCAAAAGGAGAGGGAAACUCCUUCUUGCUUUGCCCAGCAUGGUACAUUUGAGUAUGAAUAUUCUCAGCGAUGGAAGUCCUUAGAUGAGAUGGAAAAACAGCAAAGGGAACAAGUUGAAAAAAGCAUGAAGGAUGCAAAAGACAAAUUGGGAAGUGAAAUGGAAGAUGCCUAUCAUGAACAUCAGGCAAAUCUUUUGCACCAAGAUUUGAUGAGACAACAGGAAGAAUUGAGACACAUGAAAGAACUUCAUAAUCAAGAAAUGCAGAAACGUAAAGAAAUGCAGUUGAGGCAAGAAGAGGAACGACAUAGAAGGGAGGAAGAGAUGAUUCAUCAAUGUGAGAUGGAAAGACGCCAAAGAAAGGAAAGUUAUACCCGGAUGGGCUACAUGGAUCCAAGAGAAAGAGACAUGAGAAUGGGUGGCGGAGGAGCAAUGAACAUGGGAGAUCCCUAUGGUUCAGGAGGCCAGAAAUUUCCACCUCUAGGUGGUGGCGGCAUAGGUUACGAAGCUAAUCCUGGAGUUCCACCAGCAACCAUGAGUGGUUCCAUUAUGGGAAGUGAUAUGCGUACUGAGCGCUUUGGGCAGGGAGGUGCGAAACCUGUGGGUGGACAGGGCCCUAGAGGAAUGGGACCUGGAACUCCAGCAGGAUAUGGUAGAGGGAGAGAAGAAUAUAAAGGUCUGAACAAAAAAAUCCCAAUUUUAGAUGUGAUAAUCUAG